rnacentral:rRNA from 1 species
CGCUGGCGGCGUGCCUAAUACAUGCAAGUCGAACGCUUCUUUUUCCACCGGAGCUUGCUCCACCGGAAAAAGAGGAGUGGCGAACGGGUGAGUAACACGUGGGUAACCUGCCCAUCAGAAGGGGAUAACACUUGGAAACAGGUGCUAAUACCGUAUAACAAUCGAAACCGCAUGGUUUUGAUUUGAAAGGCGCUUUCGGGUGUCGCUGAUGGAUGGACCCGCGGUGCAUUAGCUAGUUGGUGAGGUAACGGCUCACCAAGGUCACGAUGCAUAGCCGACCUGAGAGGGUGAUCGGCCACAUUGGGACUGAGACACGGCCCAAACUCCUACGGGAGGCAGCAGUAGGGAAUCUUCGGCAAUGGACGAAAGUCUGACCGAGCAACGCCGCGUGAGUGAAGAAGGUUUUCGGAUCGUAAAACUCUGUUGUUAGAGAAGAACAAGGAUGAGAGUAACUGUUCAUCCCUUGACGGUAUCUAACCAGAAAGCCACGGCUAACUACGUGCCAGCAGCCGCGGUAAUACGUAGGUGGCAAGCGUUGUCCGGAUUUAUUGGGCGUAAAGCGAGCGCAGGCGGUUUCUUAAGUCUGAUGUGAAAGCCCCCGGCUCAACCGGGGAGGGUCAUUGGAAACUGGGAGACUUGAGUGCAGAAGAGGAGAGUGGAAUUCCAUGUGUAGCGGUGAAAUGCGUAGAUAUAUGGAGGAACACCAGUGGCGAAGGCGGCUCUCUGGUCUGUAACUGACGCUGAGGCUCGAAAGCGUGGGGAGCAAACAGGAUUAGAUACCCUGGUAGUCCACGCCGUAAACGAUGAGUGCUAAGUGUUGGAGGGUUUCCGCCCUUCAGUGCUGCAGCUAACGCAUUAAGCACUCCGCCUGGGGAGUACGACCGCAAGGUUGAAACUCAAAG